rnacentral:lncRNA from 1 species
UUGCCUCCAUUGGAGUGAAUUCGUUCUGAUCGGUGAAUCUGAACGUAGUGUUUACAUGAACGCUAUAUAAAGUGAUCGGGUUUAUAAGCGCGUUUGUCACGAGCUUCUGAUCAGAUUUACUCUUUUGACCUGCGCACACUGCAUGAACACAGUUUCCCGCUGUUGUCACAUGCUGUCUUAAAAAGCACGUGUGAUAUUUAUCUACUUCUGGUUCUAGUUAGACGACGAUAAGCACAUGAACUGUUGUGCAGUGCUGCUAAAAAUCCUCCGCCCCUGACUCUCGCUGACCGCCAUCAGCACAUGUGACAUUACUUCAUUACUUGAAUUAUGUUUUUGUUUGGUGCUGUAUUGAGCAGUUGUAAAUGUGUUUGUAUGUGAAUGUUUGUCUCGUCUGUUCGUGCUGCACUUUGAAAUGUCUGUUAUAGUUUGUAAUAAAUCCAUUAGUUUUCUCUUAAAGGAACGUCUGGUUUCUCUUCUUGUGUGCUGUUAAUGACAGACGGAGUCUAAUGCAGAGGAAGCAGUAGAUGCUCCUAACCCGUCAUCAUCAGGUGUUUCCUGCUGUUCUCAGAUCAGUCACUGGGUGGCAGUCAUCACACACUUCUGGGACUCACAAAAACUACAAACAUGAAGAAGCUGAAAUAUAAGGAAAUAUAAAAAUACAAUUCUAUUCUAGUGACAUCUGUGUGGUUUAUAUGAUCCUAAUGUUCUGAUGGGAUUGAGAGCGGUGACCAACUCCUUCAGUCCAGCAUCGGAGCGCUGUGGAGCAGGUGUCUCAGAGGAUCUGGACGUGGUCAGGAGCACUGAUGGAGUCCAGAUUCAGAGUCCUGUGAAGAACCAACUGAAACUAAUACAUCAACGGGGAAAUAAGUUUAAUGUUGCAUCAGUUAAACAGUUUAAACACUGGAAGAUAAGAGUGCACUGUUCAGGCCAGGUGAGGUCUGUGCUGUCAGAUACAUGUGGAUCCGAAUGAAAAGGUCAAAGGUCACAGAACUGAUGAGGGCAGGAGGUUUCACAACACUUUCAGCUGCAGUGGCACAAGUUACACAUCAGGUCCAGAGGAAACAGGUGUGUGUGUGUGUGUGUGUGCUCGGCCACCUGGAGGACAAACACAUCUCAGGGUGACAGGUCUGUCCGAGCGGAAAACACAAACACACAAUAACCUUGUAAAGCAGGAAAGGAUUUCAAACUUGUAAUUAAUAAGUUCACGCAUCUUUAACUCUGUCUUUAUUCAUGAGCAUCUGCCUCCUCUGACCCUCGGAGCCGAUGGAGUUAUUGCAUAUUAAACAGCUGCAAUCAGACCGUUGCUCAUUUCUCAGACUGCGGAGGAAGUAGAAAUACAUCUGAAGAAAGUGAACGCUGGACUUCCUGUUGACUUUCUCUGUCUGAAGAUGAUCUCCUCUCCGCUUGGACAUGACACACAGCCGGACGAGCCCGGAGCGUGGUGAUCAUCAUCAAUAACGGACUCACAGUGAGGACAUUUGUUCACACACACACACACACACUCAUUUGCCCUGUGGAGACACAGUUAAACACUCAGAAUGAUGAAGCAGUUUGUUCUGUCUGGCCAAAAUAUAUUUUAAAUAUGCUAAUAUAUAUGUUGUAAACAGUGAAGUUUUUUUUUUUUUUAACUGAAAAUAUAUUUAGUUGCAACCUUAAUAAAUCAAAUAUAUUUUAAAAUACAUUUCAGGGACAAGAAAAUACAUUUCCAAUCCUACAGUAGCCUACGUUUAAUGUAGACUUCUAGCUCACCAGAGAUUAUAAUGUUUUAUAUUUAUUUUUAGCAUGUUCCUUGUUGAUUUUUAUUCAGUUAUGUGAUUAUUGUGUUCUAUGUACACACGUAUUGUAAAAAAACGUCUUUUUUCAAAUGUGGCAUUUGUGAAUGUAUAUGUAUUUUAAAUUGCUCUUAAAAAUAUAUUUAAAUAUUUCAAUUAUAUAUAUUCAUACAGUAUAUAUGUAUGUAUAACAGCUGAUGAUUUCGCCACAUUCUUCACAGACAGACCACAACGAUCAGUAGUCAGUUCUCAUCUCCACACACACUGCUAAAACUCCCAUCCUUUCCUUUUGUCCCCUCACUGAAGCAGAGGUAUCCAAACUUCUCCUCUCCAGCCAUCCUACAACAUCUAGACACAAUCCCCUCACAUCUCCUCCAAGCAAUCUCUCCUAGUCUUUUACUAGCACUCACACACACAUCAUCAACACAUCUCUCCUCACAGACACCUGUGUACAUUAAACACAUCACUUACAGAUAGCUGCAGACCUGUGUCUCUCAGGUCUUUCAGGGUGGCUUGGUAUCCAAAGCCAACAACUUGUCACUGGGGUUCCUCAGGGAUCAGUUCUGGGACCCCUCCUCUUCUUCUUCUCCAUAUAAACGACAUCACUGGGUCCCAUCAUACAGGCACAUGGCUUCUCCUACCAUUGUUAUACUGAUGACACACAGCUCUAUCCUUCAUUUCAACCAGAUGAUCUAACGGUAGCUGCACAGAUCUCAGGCUGCCUGGUGGACAUCUCGGCAUGGAUGAAAGAAUAUCACUUACAGCUCAACCUGGCAAAGACUGAGCUUCUUGUCUUCCAUGCCACUCCAGCUCUACAGCAUGAUUUCUCCAUACAGCUAGGAUCUUCUACAAUUACCCCAUCAACUUCGGUCAGAAAUCUUGGUGUUAUAUUUGAUGCAAUUGCUAUUGCAAUAACAUUGCAAAGACUGCUUGAUCUUGCAUCACACAUGAACUCUUGAUAAGCACGAGUAGGAUGCUUUCAGAAUCAAAGUCAUUCUUUCAGGUGUUUUCUAGAAGUCGUGAUCUGUGCUAAUUAUAGAGUCGUGAUGUUAAAAGACUAAUUUGGCACGGGCUCCCUAGAGAUUCCCCUCUGGGCUUUAUAGCACACGUCCAUCACGUAGAGUGUUUGAUGUCUGCAUUUAUAUUUUCAAGUAUUUUUUUAAAAGAGUGUUUGCUCAUGUGCAAUACAUAAAAAAGGAUGUUUCCUAUCAGUUGUUAAAUAGACUUCUAUUGUCAGUUCUUCCACAUGUACAGCACAUACAUACAAAUAAUUGAAAUUGCAUUACUCAGACCCUUGGUGCAUACAGAUAAGACUAACAGUAGAGCAUAAAAAUAAAGAUAGAUAUAGAUUAAAUAUUAAAUACAACUAUACAAAUAAGCGCAUGUAAAAAAAAAAAAAAAAAGUUAAAUAAAUGAAGUUAAGUAAAGCAACACAUGGCAGAUAGUGCAAACCAGUGAAGGGGUAAGUUCAUCCAAAAAUGAAAAUUAUGUCAUUAAUAACUCACCCUCAUGUCGUUCCAAACCUGUGAAACCUCCGUUUAUCUUCUGAACACAGUUUAAGAUAUUUUAGAUUUAGUCCGAGAGCUCUCAGUCCCUCCAUUGAAGCUGUGUGUACGGUCUACUGUCCAUGUCCAGAAAGGUAAGAAACACAUCAUCAAAGUAGUCCAUGUGACAUCAGGGGGUCUGUUAGAGAUUGUUGAAGCAUCGAAAAUACAUUUUGGUCCAAAAAUAGCAAAAACGACGACUUUAUUCAGCAUUGUCUUCUCUUCCAGGUCUGUUGUGAGCGCUGCUGAUUUGUUAUCUUUGUUAUUGGGAGCACCAGAAAACACGUCAGCAGCGUCACUGCAGUGUUGUGAACUGAGCUGUCCAAGCACAUUAAUAGAGAGGCGAAGGGAAGGAAAAGAUGUGGUAGAAAAAAGUGUACAAGCAAUAGAGAUAACCGCACCCUGGAGAGGAUUGUGAAACAAAACCCAUUCAGAAAUGUGGGGGAGAUUCACAAAGAGUGGACUGCAGCUGGAGUCAGUGCUUCAAGAACCACUUUUCAUGUUCAUAAUUUUUAGUUGGCAAAGACUUCUAAAAAUCCUUUCUUUGUAUUGGUCUUAACUUAUAUUCUAAUUUUCUGAGAUACUGAAUUUGGGAUUUUCCUUAGUUGUCAGUUAUAAUCAUCAAAAUUACAAGAAAUAAACAUUUGAAAUAUAUCAGUCUGUGUGUAAUGAAUGAGUAUAACAUAGAAGUUUCACUUUUUUAAUGGAAUUAGUGAAAUAAAUAAACUUUUUGAUGAUAUUCUAAUUAUAUGACCAGCACCUGUGUGUGCAUUUAACUUUUCCGGCCUCGAAUUGCAACCUGUUCCAACUUUUUGGAAUGUGUAGCUUUCAUGAAAUCCAGAAUGAGCCAAUAUUUGGCAUGGCAUUUAAAAAUGUCUCAUUUCAACAUUUGAUAUGUUAUCUAUAUUAUAUUGUGAAUAAAAUAUAAGUUUAUGAGAUUUGUAAAUUAUUCUAUUCCUUUUUUACUCACAAUUUGUACAGUGUCCCAACUUUUUGAAAUCGGGUUUGUAUAUACAGUAGUUGAGUAUAAUAAUCAUAACAGUGGAAACUAAUCCCAUAUUAUCUUAUAAAAUUACUGAGGGGCAACAUGUAUAUUGAAAAUAGCAGAGGACCUAGGACAGAUCCUUGUGGCACUCCAUAUUUUACUGGUGAUAAAUGAGUGACUGCCCAUUUAAAUAAACAAAAUGGUAGCGACCGGACAGUUAGGAUCUAAACCAUCUUAGAGCCUGCCCUUGAAUACCUGUAUAGUUUUGUAAUUGAUCUAUGAGUAUGUCAUGAUCUAUGGUGUCGAACGCAGCACUAAGAUCUAAGCGAUACUGUUUUUCCAUGCAAUUAAAAAAACGUGUGUGUACAUAUAUAUAUAUAUAUAUAUAUAUAUAUAUAUAUAUAUAUAUA